GCUGGGUAUGGUGGUGCACACCUGUAAUCCCAGUGGCUUGGGAGACUGAGGCAGGAGGAUCACGAGUUCAAAGUCAGCCUUGCAAAAGCGAGGCACUAAGCAACUCAGUGAGACCCUGUUUCUA
rnacentral:sRNA from 1 species